AACUACAAUAUGCAGCGAAUAGUUUACAGUAAGUUGGGUGAAGAGGGAAACACCUGCGACAAACUUUGGGAAGCAAAGCUGGAAACUAGAGGAGACCUCCAUACUCUGGACUGCCAACUAGAGUUUGCAUGAAGGGUUGUGAAAGCACAAAGAAGUGAAAAUAUUGCACACCAUGUACUCUUCAGUCUAUAUAUUUGCUUCAUUUUCGAAGUCUUUUGCCAAUCAUUUCGUUGUGUCCCUCUGCUUUGAGUAUAUAGUAUGUGUAUUGGAGACAUUUCUCAUCAAAAUCAAGAGAUAAAUCUAACUGAAAUGGAUUGGGAACAUUUUUUAAUUGUAAGCUAUUUCUUUACAGAUAUGGACAGCAAAUCAGUAAUACUCCUGGGCGUUCAGCUGAUGGGAAAUGCUACUGUACCGUAGAGGCACAUCUUCUUUGGACAGGAUGAACUCCAGUGUUAAGAACUGACUGUCAAACUGAAGAUAUCCUGUGACAUAGGAAUUUAUUCUGAGAUAAGUCCUGGGACUCUUCACAUCUAAAGGGAUGCAGUAAUCAUAUAACAGCAUAAGGACUGUCCACGUCUUUCAAUCAUCGGGAUUGAAAAGAAGGAUUUAGCUGUGUGUUACUUUCAAGAUGAACUCUCAGGGUUGCCCGACAGAUGGCAGCGGAUGUUACGGACACAGGUGAUCAUAGUAAGGUAUCAAGAUAACAGAAUAAAAUACUAGCAAAAAUCAGGAUAGCCAGCAGAGUUGGGUUUGGAUAGACAGUAAACUAGCAGUGUCAGGAACAAUAUGACGUCAGAAUCAAACCAAUCAUCACAAUGACAAGGUGUUCUGAGUAUGCAUAAUCACUCUCAAAACCAAAAUCCUUUUUUCAACUAUAAAAUUAUAAAUAAUAUAAAUUUUUUCAAUAAAAAACUAUAAUAUACAGUA